rnacentral:rRNA from 1 species
UACGGGGGGAGCAAGCGUUGUUCGGAUUUACUGGGCGUAAAGGGCGCGUAGGCGGUCAGCACAAGUCAGUUGUGAAAUCUCCGGGCUUAACUCGGAAAGGUCAACUGAUACUGUGCGACUAGAGUGCAGAAGGGGCAACUGGAAUUCUCGGUGUAGCGGUGAAAUGCGUAGAUAUCGGGAGGAACACCGGUGGCGAAGGCGGUUCUCUGGGCCUUACCUGACGCUGAGGAGCGAAAGCGUGGGGAGCGAACAGG